rnacentral:piRNA from 1 species
CGGGCUGCCAAGGAAGCAAAAAAGGCU